CAGAGGGUGCAAGCGUUAAUCGGAUUUACUGGGCGUAAAGCGUGUGUAGGCGGUUCGUUAAGUCGGAUGUGAAAGCCCUGGGCUCAACCUAGGAAUUGCAUUCGAUACUGGCGAGCUAGAGUACGGUAGAGGGCGGCGGAAUUCCGGGUGUAGCGGUGAAAUGCGUAGAUAUCCGGAGGAACACCGAUGGCGAAGGCAACCGCCUGGGCCUGUACUGACGCUGAGACACGAAAGCGUGGGGAGCAAACAGGAUUAGAUACCCUGGUAGUCCACGCCGUAAACGAUGAGAACUUGACGUCGGUUUGCUCUGCGAAUCGGUGUCGAAGCUAACGCGCUAAGUUCUCCGCCUGGGGAGUACGGCCGCAAGGUUG
rnacentral:rRNA from 1 species